rnacentral:rRNA from 1 species
GAUGAACGCUAGCGGGAGGCUUAAUACAUGCAAGUCGGACGGUAACAUGGGAGCUUGCUCCUGAUGACGAGUGGCGCACGGGUGAGUAACGCGUACACGACCUACCUUAAACUGGGGGACACACACCGGAAACGGAGUAAAUACCCCAUGUGAUUAAAUUUUCUAAAAUGUUUAAUUAAAGCUUCGGCGGUUUAAGAUGGGUGUGCGUACUAUUAGCUAGUUGGUGAGGUAACGGCUCACCAAGGCGACGAUAGUUAGGGGGCGUGAGAGCGUGACCCCCCACACGGGUACUGAGACACGGACCCGACUCCUACGGGAGGCAGCAGUAAGGAAUAUUGGACAAUGGAGGCAACUCUGAUCCAGCCAUCCCGCGUGCAGGAUGAAUGCCCUCUGGGUAGUAAACUGCUUUUAUAUACCAAGAACGGCAGAGAUUUAUCUUUGUGUGACGGUAGUAUAUGAAUAAGCACCGGCUAACUCCG